GGGGAUAUAUCUCAGUGGAAGGGUAGGGCACUUGCCUCAUAUAUGUAAAGCCCUGGGUUUAAUCCCCAGUACCCCCA
rnacentral:tRNA from 1 species